AGCUUUGCGCAGAGGCGAUAUCGUAACCAAUGAGGUAUAACCGAGGUGCGAUUAUUGCUAUUUGAAAUGUAUAAUACAGCAAGGUUGGGUUUCAUUCAAUAUCAGUAUUUUGAACUGUCAGCUACUAAGCAAAUUUCUAUAAGACUCCUAGCACUCUAUGGGU